rnacentral:rRNA from 1 species
GAUGAACGCUGGCGGCGUGCUUAACACAUGCAAGUCGAACGGUGAACGAGGGAGCUUGCUCCCUCCGGAUCAGUGGCGAACGGGUGAGUAACACGUGAGCAAUCUGCCCUGGACUCUGGGAUAAGCGUUGGAAACGACGUCUAAUACCGGAUACGAGACGCGAAGGCAUCUUCAGCGUCUGGAAAGCUCCGGCGGUAAAGGAUGACCAUGCGCACGAUUAGCUAGUAGGUGAGGUAACGGCUCACCUAGGCUACGAUCGUUAGGGGGCCUGAGAGGGUUAUCCCCCACACUGGUACUGAGACACGGACCAGACUCCUACGGGAGGCAGCAGUGAGGAAUAUUGCGCAAUGGAGGCAACUCUGACGCAGCAACGCCGCGUGAGGGACGACGGCCUUCGGGUUGUAAACCUCUUUUAGCAGGGAAGAAGCGAAAGUGACGGUACCUGCAGAAAAAGCACCGGCUAACUACGUGCCAGCCGCCGCGGUAAUAC